UACGUAGGGGGCAAGCGUUGUCCGGAAUCAUUGGGCGUAAAGAGCGUGUAGGCGGCCAGAAAAGUCCGCUGUGAAAACUCGAGGCUCAACUUCGAGCUGUCGGUGGAAACUUUCUGGCUAGAGUCCGGAAGAGGAGAAUGGAAUUCCUGGUGUAGCGGUGAAAUGCGCAGAUAUCAGGAGGAACACCGGUGGCGAAGGCGGUUCUCUGGGCCGAUACUGACGCUGAGGAGCGAAAGCGUGGGGAGCGAACAGG
rnacentral:rRNA from 1 species